CGUGGGUUUCUCUCUCUUUCCCUCGUUUAUAUCGAUCUUAUCUUUCCCUUCGUCUCCCUCUUCACUUUUCUCUUAUAGAGGAAAAACUCUGCAAGAAAAAAUUAAUCGUCCACUUCCAUCUGCUUUUCACUCGGUCCUUCCAAUACUAGUUAGCAAUAAUCACCACUAUUCAUUCCCAUGUUUCUUUCUCGAAAUUACUCCCUUGCACGCUUUCACCUGUAGGCUUUUAUGCAAUCUCUUAUUAUCAUUUACCAAACCCUAAGUCUAUUUUUUAAUUCAAUCUUUGAUCAAAACCAUAACUCGUUCCUAUGAUUUUUAGGUUUGAACAAAUACCAGUAAAAACCCCUAACCGAAUUGAAGAAACCCCUUACAGAAUUCUGAGAUUUUUUUCAUCUUUAAUGAACAUUCAACUGAUUUUUUUUUCAUUUUUCAGUUAGGGUUUUUGUUAAUAGGGGUGCAGAUCCAACUGAUUUUAGCUCUAUGGGUUAUUCAGGAUUUGUAAUUUCUUAUUGUUGACUGGAAUUUUGGUUGUUUUUUUUUCGUUUACUCAGUUGGGGUUUUUGUUAUAUCUCGAAUUGUUAACUAAUAUCUCUAAUGAUUACUGAAUGGUUGAUUUUUCUAGUUCUCUAACUGAAAUUUCAUUUUGUUUUGAAAUCUUAUCCAUGUUGUUUCAAUUUCUCUCAAUUUGUCAAUAGCAAUGAAGGUUGUAAUGUGUGUUAAUUUUUAUAUUUGUGUGAUUUAUGUUCGUAGUGACUUAAUGGGAGAUUUGUUUUCUGGAUCCCCACUACUUCAGUAUAUGUUGAUGAUAUUUGACUUUGGCCUGAUUAUGUUUGGCUUCCUUUUGUUAUGCUCUUGUUUGUGUAUGCUAGCAGUUUUGAUUUGCUUGGCUCUUUUGAAGUUAGGAUUACCUAAUACACUAAGCUUGAAAAUGAAGCUGUUGAAAAUGAAGCUUACCUUAUACAGAUAUAUAGAGAAGAGUCUUACGGGGGAGAACAAAGAAUGAACUAUGCCUAAAGGAAGUCCCCUGUUGAGGCACUAAACUGAUUUCUCAUAUUUUUUGUUUGUUGUUUAUGCUCAUCAACAUUACAAUGCUCAAUUGUCAAAAUUGCAGGUGGUUGGAAGAAGUUUGUUGAGUCAUGAGGUAAAGGGACAUUCGAGUUACAGCGGGAGGAGGAAAUCAAUAAUUCCACAUUAAAUGUGAGAGGUACAUUAUUGCUCCAGUGUGCUAGUCUUGAAAAUGGGCAUGCUUGUGACAAUAGGAGCCAUUUAGAGUCAGGAAGUUACAAGGAAAGAUGACGUUGCUGGUAAUGAUGAUUUUCCAGUGUAAAUAAAAUUGGUUGCACUUCAUCUCAGCUUGAGCAUGUUAAUUUUCAAUAUCUGAAUGCUAAAUGUAGAUUAUUGAUAAGGUACACACCCUCCUAGUUCACAUUGAAAAACAUCUUGUAGAAUCUCUCAAAAGAUCAUGCCUAAAUGUGAAUGCUUAUGAAGAUCUGUAUGUGUUAUUGCAUCCGCAAAUUCAUCUCCGGUAAUUUCAACAUUUGUUUCUGACAACGAGUAUUGAGAUGGAGAUCAGAAAACAAGCUAAAUCCAAAGAUUGAAGAAUGUUGUCAGAUCAGUUAGGAAGAUUAUUAACCUGGAUAAGGAAGAUCUCGUGUUUUGAUAAAUAAGGCAAGGAGUGUCAAAGCCGUAGACUCACAGUUGUGGAUCCUGUAACUAUUUUUACAUUGCUCGAGAUCUGCAAUCAUGUCUGUUGUAGGUAUACUAUUUCGGUCAGUUUGGCAGCUCAGUUCAUCUUUUUGCUGGUUUUAGUUUAUUUCAUCGUUUGUAGGUUUGUUUCCACCAAAUGUAAGAAAAUACAUCUUUAAGAAACUAAGAAACUGAAAUGGUAUGAACUCAGUAGUUGUGUAGAGUUUUCUGUGGUUUUGAACUUAGUGUCAGUUCAAUUUAUAUUGUACAAUAAUUUUCAAAUUUUGAAUGAAAUGGUGAAUGUUUUGAUA